rnacentral:lncRNA from 1 species
GGUGUUUGCAACGCCAGCAUGGAACAGGUCCCCAUUGAAAGGAGUGAUUACUAGGGUAGCGGUAAAUGUGAAGGUGGACCAGCUGAAGGAGAAGAUUCCCGGUAUUUCUGAUGCUUGUCGUUUGAUGUAACGUAGGAAGGGUGGCGUGAGUGGUGAGACAGAAGAGUCGUUUUGAGUUUUGAUGUUCAGUCUUUGCCCGACAAAGUGAUGUUAGGAUAUUUCAAUUAUCCAGUGCAAGCUUUUGUGCCAAACCCAUUAUGUUACAGGUGUCAAGCAAUUUUGGCAUGUGGCAGCAGUGUGUAGAAGGGAGGUUCCUAGGUGUGAGAAGUGUGCAGAAGGGCAUGAGACAAAGGAAUGUGUAGUAUUGGGGAAAGAAGUGGUAUGUGUUAAUUAUAGGGGUGGACAUGAUACUGAAGAUCAGAAGUGUCCGGUGCGAGAGAGGCAGGUUGAAAUGACCAGGGUUAGAGUAGUGGAGAGGGUGUCGUAUCCUGAGGCAGUGAAAAAAGUAGAGGAAGAUGGUCAAGGGUUUGGGAUCCUGAGAGUAUAUCCGUGAGUAGUAGAUCUGUGCCAACACAGAGGGAUAGAUCAAUGAGUGAUAUAUGCUUCAGUAAGGUUGGAUUUUUAUCGUUCAUAGCUAUGGUUAUCAACUGUACAGCAGAGAUGAAAUGUAAGUCACAGAAAAUAGAUGUUGUGGUGGCAGCAGUGAGAAGUAUUUGAGGGUAUGAGAUUUGACUUCAGAAGUGUUACAGGUGGUGCUGUCCGUUUGCCUGGGGUAGGGACAGAUAGGGUUGUGGAAUAGGGUGGUGGGUUUUAAUUACUAUUAUUAUUGAUUUCCUUUUAAAUUCUUCCAUUUUGUGGGUCAAAGUAUAAUGGAUUUAUAUCCCAGUCUAGUUGGUGGCGGUAAUGCAACAUAAAUUGGAUACCAACCGCCAUUAAACCUCACCAAAGAAGAAGUACUGCAGGAGGGAAGGACACUGUUCCCUGUAUAGUUGUGUUGCUGGCUUGCAGCGCAAACUCUCCCCAGUGAGCAAUGGACUGUAUCACAGUGACAUCCAGAUGCUUACUACCAAUAUUACAAGUUAUUUUUCAUGUAGGUUGCUAUCCUACUUGAAAUAUAAACAAGUUGGAUGGAAGAAAUUGGCCACUUUAGCUACCGCCUGCGACAUGAGAAGCAACUGUUGGCCAGUGGGAUGCAACUAAUGUCAGGAAAGCACCUCGAUACAACACCAUUGCACUUGUCAUUCACACCGGCUUGUUAUGUUAGCUAAUUGGCAUGUCACGGUGACAUCCAGAUGGUUACCAAUACUACAAGUUACUUCUCCCUCUACCAUCAAAAUAAACACGUUUUAACUAGCGCCAUGAUGCUGUUGUUUCCAGCUAGCCAGCCCAGCAUAUAAACUAGCUAGCUGGGAAGGGCUCAUCAGACAACUGAACCGAAUCCAUUCAUCUCCAGACUUGACUCUCAGCUACAUGACAUACAUCAUCAAUUUGGGCACCAAGGUGUCUGUAUAGCCUCUCCAUGGCAGUGUGGUGCCAGGACAGCAACCUCUCCCUCAACGUCAGUAAGACCAAGGAGCUGAUCGUGAACUACAGGAAACGGGGGGGCGUGCACGCCCCUAUCCACCUCAACAGGGCUGUUGGGGAGCGGGUCGAGAGCGUCAAGUUCCUCGGUGUCCAAACCCUACACUGCAAAAAGUGAAAUCUAAACAAGC